rnacentral:tRNA from 1 species
GGGCGCGUAGCUCAGUUGGUUAGAGCGCUUGCUUGACAUGCAAGAGGUCCCUGGUUCGAAUCCAGGCGCGCCCACCA